AUGGGUGAGUAACACGUACUUAACAUACCUCUUAGAUUGGGAUAACGGUGAGAAAUUAUCGCUAAUACCGGAUACUUAUAUAAGUCGCAUGACUUAUAUAUAAAAGGAGCCUUAAAGCUUCACUAAGAGAUUGGGGUGCGGAACAUUAGCUAGUUGGUAAGGUAAUGGCUUACCAAGGCAAUGAUGUUUAGCGGGGUUGAGAGACUGAUCCGCCACACUGGGACUGAGAUACGGCCCAGACUCCUACGGGAGGCAGCAGUAGGGAAUUUUCCACAAUGGACGAAAGUCUGAUGGAGCGACACAGCGUGCAGGAUGACGGCCUUCGGGUUGUAAACUGCUGUUAUAAGGGAAGAAAAAGCAUUAGAGGAAAUGCUAGUGCCUUGACGGUACCUUGUCAGAAAGCAACGGCUAACUAUGUGCCAGCAGCCGCGGUAAUACAUAGGUUGCAAGCGUUAUCCGGAAUUAUUGGGCGUAAAGCGUCUGUAGGUUGUAUGUUAAGUCUGGCGUGAAAACUUGGGGCUCAACCCCAAAUUGCGUUGGAUACUGGCAUGCUAGAAUUGUGUAGAGGUUAGCGGAAUUCCUAGUGAAGCGGUGAAAUGCGUAGAUAUUAGGAAGAACACCAAUUUGGCGAAGGCAGCUAACUGGGCACAUAUUGACACUGAGAGACGAAAGCGUGGGGAGCAAACAGGAUUAGAUACCCUGGUAGUCCACGCUGUAAACGAUGAUGAUUAGCUGAUAGAGAGGUCUAUCGGCGCAGCUAACGCAUUAAAUCAUCCGCCUGAGUAGUAUGCUCGCAAGAGUGAAACUUAAAGGAAUUGACGGGGAUCCGCACAAGCGGUGGAGCAUGUGGUUUAAUUUGAAGAUACGCGUAGAACCUUACCCACUCUUGACAUCUUCUGCAAAGCUAUAGAGAUAUAGUGGAGGUUAACAGAAUGACAGAUGGUGCA
rnacentral:rRNA from 1 species